GCUGUUUGUGACUUUUUGCCUGCCAUUCUUCUCCUAUCUUUGGCUGUGUUUUCCAUUCCUUUCCUUUGUACAUCAGACACAAUCAAGAAUAGUAGCUGAACUGCUUCUAUGCAUGGUUAGAAAAAACAAAGAAGCAGAGGAGAAGAAAAGAGAACUCCAACAAGAAAGAGUUCUGGAGAAAGGGCUGUAGGAAAACAAAUACAGCUAUUCAAGCAAGUCAAGGUUUUGUGAAAUCUCAUAGACCAAUGGCCAUCAAAAGUGUUUGAUAAAAUGUUUGUGUGAAACUUGGGAUAGCAGAGAAAACACUGAGAGAAUGAUCGCACAGGGACCAAGGGGGACAUUGUUGACACCAUUAACGGUGAUUCUGGCAAGUGACUUUAUUCUGGGAAUGAUGGAUUUGAGAUAAACUUGGCUAAUGCGGUGGCUUAUUCUCUCCUAGGAGUGCUAAUGGGCUUGUCAAGAGUAUUGGAGCUGGUGGAGUUGAGAGCAGAAGUCAGCAAACUUUUGUGGGUUCUGGUGUUGGAAAAGAAAUUAUCCCUCAGGCAUCUAAGCCAGCUCAAGAGAAGAAGCCCCAGGUUUCUACUGCUAAUGGUCAUGCUACAGCCCCUGCUGCUAAAAACUUUUGGCUUAAGACCCAAAAAUCUAUCCAUAUUGAGAUAGAAUGUACCAUUAGAUGUCCAUCAUGCAAGGAAGAAAUUGGAGUUGAAGCGAGGUAAUGGCAAAAUAUGAUAGGCGUCGCUUGGGAUUUGUGGUAAAUGAUGUAACAGGAUCUUUACAUACUGCAAUUUUCAGUCCAUAUGUUUAGAAAUUGUUAUCAUAUACCGCUCUUCAUCUAGCCAGCUGAUGACCAAAAAAUCCAAGGACAAAAGGUCAGCGAAGAACAACACUAUCAAAGCAUACACUACUGAGGUUGGAGGUCAAAUUUCAAUAGCAAUCCCAAAUGAAGAUCACAAAAGAUGUUCCCAAAUUUCAUAUCAAUGCUCAAGAUCCUUUAUGAUGGCGUUCUCAUAAAGAACUUGAUGGAGUAAACGCAAGUUAGCAAUCUAAUUAGUGGGCGGUUUGGAUGAUUGCAGCUCUCAGCUCCAUUAGUUUUUAGCAUAUAUAAUGGAACCAAUCAUUAUAGCAUUUUUUUUUCCUUUUUGGCUUUGGAUUCUUGAAAAAAUUAUUGUUGAGAUUUUAAGUAGGAUAUAAAUUAUGUCAAUAUCUUUGAAACUACAAAAUUGAAAUACAAUUCUAGACUUUUACCUAAAUGAAAAAUGUAUUUAUGAACUA